CCUACGGGAGGCAGCAGUGAGGAAUAUUGGUCAAUGGGCUCAAGCCUGAACCAGCCAUCCCGCGUGCAGGAUGACGGCCUUAUGGGUUGUAAACUGCUUUUCUACGCAAAGAACGGGUCUUACGUGUAAGGCAUUGACGGUAGUGUAGGAAUAAGCAUCGGCUAACUCCGUGCCAGCAGCCGCGGUAAU
rnacentral:rRNA from 1 species